GCUUUACACUUGAUCUCUGAACUUCAGGUAAGUUCAAUGUUGACAAGCUAUUAACUGAUGCAAUUUUGUUUGUAUAUCUUUUCACACUUUCCUCUUUAUUAGUAGCACAGGGGAAAACUGUGAAUUUUUCAAAGUUUUGUAACAUUGUUAAAACACAAUUGCAUCAUUUCAAAAAAAAAAAAAAAAAAACACACUCACACACAAUUGCAUAUGAUGGUUUACACUUGAUAUCUCAACUUGAGGUAAGUUCAAUGCUGACAAGCGUUUAACAGGUGCA
rnacentral:lncRNA from 1 species